CAGCAGUGAGGAAUAUUGGUCAAUAGCCUAACGGCUGAACCAGCAACUUGGAGGAAUGUAUAGCUAAAGCUAAACGUAUUUUGUAAAAAUACAGAUUCGAUUUACUCGUAUAAAGUUCUAGAUAGGAUUAUGAUAAUGACAUUGCCUAUCUAUAUGUCUUGACCAAAUUACGUGCCAGCAGUCGCGGCAAGACGUAAAAGACUAGUGUUAUUCAUCUUUAAUAGGUUUAAAGCGUACCUAGACGGUAAAUAAAGCCUUAACCGGGACUAAUUUAACUAGAGUUAGAUGUAAGGGUGCAUUAACGUACUGUUGAGUGUAGAGAUGAAAUUCUGUUAUACCAGAUUAUUGGCACGGGUUUAGGCGAAAGCAUCGCCUUAUGUAAUAACUGACGUUGAGGGACGAAGGCUUUGUGUCGCGAACAGGAUUAGGUACCCCAGUAGUCUAAGCAGAAAAUGAUGAGUGUCAUAGGUUAAAUAUUAUUUG
rnacentral:rRNA from 1 species